rnacentral:rRNA from 1 species
CCUACGGGAGGCAGCAGUGAGGAAUAUUGGUCAAUGGACGAGAGUCUGAACCAGCCAAGUAGCGUGAAGGAUGACUGCCCUAUGGGUUGUAAACUUCUUUUAUAAAGGAAUAAAACGAGGCACGUGUGCCUUUUUGCAUGUACUUUAUGAAUAAGGAUCGGCUAACUCCGUGCCAGCAGCCGCGGUAAUACGGAGGAUCCGAGCGUUAUCCGGAUUUAUUGGGUUUAAAGGGAGCGUAGAUGGGUUGUUAAGUCAGUUGUGAAAGUUUGCGGCUCAACCGUAAAAUUGCAAUUGAUACUGGCAGUCGUGAGGACAGUUGAGGUAGGCGGAAUUCGUGGUGUAGCGGUGAAAUGCUUAGAUAUCACGAAGAACCCCGAUUGCGAAGGCAGCUUACUAAACUGUGACUGACAUUGAUGCUCGAAAGUGUGGGUAUCAAACAGGAUUAGAUACCCCAGUAGUC